UACGAAGGGGCUAGCGUUGUUCGGAAUUACUGGGCGUAAAGGGCGCGUAGGCGGUGAUCUUUGUCAGAGGUGAAAGCCCGGGCUCAACUCCGGAAUUGCCUUUGAAACGGGAUUGCUUGAGUCCGAGAGAGGAUGGCGGAAUUCCGUAGUGUAGAGGUGAAAUUCGUAGAUAUUAGGAAGAACACCGGUGGCGAAGGCGGCAUCUGGCUCGGUACUGACGCUGAUGCGCGAAAGCGUGGGGAGCAACAGG
rnacentral:rRNA from 1 species